rnacentral:lncRNA from 1 species
CUUGGCCUCACUUUCCUGAACUAGAGCCCUGACAUUAAUGUUGAUAGCUGUCUUCUUGGAUGAACCAGGUUCAUUUGGAAUGUCAUUGACUAGAUAGUAAUAAGCAAGCAGCGUAUUAAUGUCAAAACCAUCCUUGCUUGUGACCAUCUCCCACUUCUUUAGAGGCACCUUGCACCGAUCCAGAACAGUAGUCAGAAUAAAUUCAUAGGGGGUGGCAUGGGCCUUGGAGCCAUUGAUGACCCUGUCCAGUAGCUUGAUGAUAGAUGCAUGCCAGUUGAUUUUCCUUCCACUUUCAAGACACUCCAUCAGAACUAAGUCCAUAUAGUUAGCAAUGUGCCUUCUUUCCUACCUGGGGAUUAGGUACUUGUUGACAAACUCAAAGAGGACUUUGUGUUGUGGAUUUAUUUCACUCUUGUGCGAAAAUUUGGCCUCAUUAACUUCUUCAAUAUCACAGAAUAUCCUAGUGAUUUCAAGGGCAGGGGGAACGGAAUCCAGACUUGGCCAUUUCUUUGCCUAAUGUAGUCAUUAUAUCCUUCAGCAGGGAUGUUAAGAAUCUCUCCCAACUUCUCUGCAUCAAAGGUCACUUGAAAUCCUUUUACUUGGCCUGUGACUUUGCCAUCUUUGACCUCUGUAUCGGCCAUGAAUUCAAUGAUUUCAUUCCUAGAUAGCCUUCUAUCCAUCUGAAGGAACAUGUCCUUUCAGCCCUGAACAGCUAGGGUAUCAACCAAACGAACCAUUACUGGUUCCACCAAGUCUUUCACCAAUCUUGCCUUCAAAAUUUUUCUUUUGUCGAACUUGGCCAGCUUGUCUUGUUCACCAUCAGACUUACUCUCUUCUUCAACACUCCAUUCCCCAUCUUUUGAAAUUCUAAAUUGUUUGUUUUUCACUGCAGACCUAGUCCUCUUGGCCAAUCAAGGUUCAACAACCUUAAACACAGAUGAAUACUUCAUAGAAGAAGUCUUGGUAUUUUUUGGUUUAGAGGUUUGAACCUCCAUGUUGUAUGUUCCUCCUGAUAAACCUAUUCCAUAUUCUCAACAUCAACAACUUUAGAGGACUCUACAACCUUACCUUUUCCUUUAUCCAUCCUCUUCUUCUUGCUUUCAUUUAAAGCUUUUUGUAAUUCACUUGUUUCACUCUACUUCUUGUGGAUCUUCCCUUUGGCAAGGAAUUUCAGUAGUUUUUUGGAAGGAAGCUUUUCUUUUCUUGGAAGGUUUUGCAGUGCUGGGGGCUUUUGGAGUUGGAGGUCUCCUUUUCUUUGGAUCAUAAUUGGCACCUACUUUCUUCAAAAGGUCUAUUAGGGUCUUCUCCAUAGAUGAAUCAGGUUCAUCUGCCUGUGAACUUAGUUUAACCUAUCCUUCAGCAGCCUCCCCUAACCACUUCCCCCUGACUUCUUGCCACUUUUUUCCACAAUUGCAUGUUUAACCCCAUAGAUAGUUGGUACCAUCAAUUCAGAAGUAGGUGAAGAACCAGCCACUCCUUUUCCUUUUCCCCUCACACCACCACAUACACCUUUCUCUAAACCCAAUGAUCUUUCAACCGUAGCUUAUUUCCCUUUUGUAUGAGAGUUUUAAGAAAUAUCUCUGAUCCUUCUCUUUAUCCAGUACCAUUUUUUUCCUUUUUAUUUUUAUUUUUACCUCAUAUCUUUCCCAAUUCAGGCAAUUCCACAUUCCUGACAGACCCACCCAAAACAAACCUAUUUACAAAAUUUUCAGCCAAGGCAGAACGUACCUCAGAAAGGGAGUUUUGAUCCUUCGCAGAGUCAGAAGACCCAGUUCCUCCCCCGCUCACUCGUAUAUUCGGACGAAUCAUUUGAGUUCUCAGAAUCUUGGGUUUCUCUUGACUUCAAUUUCUUGUUUAAUUUCUUUGAAAGAGCACCAGUAGCCAUUAUCUUCCAAGCAAGCAUUUUUACUCCCCUUCUCCUAGGUUGAGGGGUUGUGCUGGGUGGAGGAGGUGUGGAGGAACUAGAAGGGGAGGGUAGUGGAGGAGUGCUUGGAUUAUCUUCAGGGUUCGAUAUUAUAACUAAUUUCUUGAGAGAGUUUGUGAGUUAGGCUUUUGGAAGAGAAAACAUUUGAGAGUGAAAUAGAUU